ensembl:lncRNA
GAAAAGGAAAAAGGAAAAGGACAGGAGGGGAAAGGGGAAGGGAAAAAGGAAAGGGAAAAGAAAAGGAAAAAGAAAAGGAAAAAGGACAGGAGGGGAAAGGGAAAGGAAAAAGGAAAGGAAAAAGGACAGGAGGGGAAAGGGAAAGGAAAGGAGGGGAAAGGAAAACGGUAAGGAAAAAGGAAAGGAGGGGAAAGGGGAAAGGAAAGUAAAAUAAAAUGGAAGUCCUCUACCUGCCCUCAAAGGAGCUGCAGCCCCCCCAGUGCUCAGCCUAUGUUGGCGUUCAGCAGCACAGUCUGCACUGCAGUGCUUUGUCCCACCAGCCAUGAGCAGCAGCCCCAUGCACGGAGCUCAGCAGGGAGCACUGCUGCUUUCUACACCUCUCUGCACCCCUGCUUUGAGGCCCAGCAUCCAGCAGGCAGCAGAAUUUGGUCCUACCGUUUCAGUAGCGGUGGAUCAGCCCUCAAGUCCCACGGGUCACUUCUGAAGGCUGCACUCCGUUUGUGCAUCAUGCAACUGAAAGCUACUACAGAAGCAAGUGAAUAACCCAGUGAAAACACAGCAGCCCCUCGUUUAUUACAGAAAGCAUCAAUUAAAAGCCAUCAUAUGAUUAAAAACCCAGCACAGGGCCACUCGAGGUGGCUGUUAAGGUGCAGUGGCUGAAGGUGUUCCCUCCAUCAGUGCUCUGAUUGGCUCACGAAGAAUUUUGGAACUGCCCUGCUGAAUCAGGCCCACGGCACUGGGAGACGACGUUUGGGAAGCAGAAACUGAUCACUUCCUUCAGCAUAAAUGGUCUUAACAGCCUAAAUCAUUUCAGGCAAGGCUCUGUGAUAAAUCCUCACCUCACCCUCUCUCCUCUUUUUUUUCUCCCACCAAGAAAAAUCUUUACUAUUAUAAUGCAAAAGAAACCUGUGUGAAUUGCUCCCUGCGAAGCUCAGCCUGUAAACAAGAUUGUAGCAACAAGGGAACAAGUCAUGGCUCCUUUUCAGGCAUCCCUGCAGUAAUCUGCUUUUGUCCCCAUGAUGCAGGGCACGUGCUGCAGGGCCCCAUGCGAGGGCCUCGUGCAGAGCCCAACAGAGGAAUUACAACAAAGGAAACCUUUUGUUCCCAUAGAAUAGAAGCUGUCCUGAUUUUUCAGACCUUUCUACCCAAGUGCGCUCCUGGCAAGGCAGGGAGCAGGACUGGGGAGGGCAGGAGGGCUGUGCUGCAUGGGCAGCCAGCUGAUCGCUUUCAUUACCUGCAGAAUAGCACCUGCCUCCUCUGUUUCUCUGCCUCUCUCCCGGUCCGCAUGGAGCUGGGGAGCACAGCACUCCCCCACCUUCUUUGGCAGCUGAACCACGGCUGAAGGCACCGCAUGCUGUAGAACAACAGUGGGAGGGCAAUUGGAAAGAGAAAGUAGACGGUGAGAUCUCAAGCUCUCAAAUACCACGUUGGUCAGUGCUGCACACACUGCUGGCUCUGCACGGAGCAGCCUCAGAGGGAGAGAACUGGCCCAGGAAAGCAUAGCCUGCCUUCACGCACCUUCCUAUGCACACUCAUGGUCCAUCCUACCGCUGCAGGAGCUGGGAAACACACAGCCUGGAUGCCUUCUUUAUAGCACUGAAUGGGUGCCCUAUGGAGCAGUUUACCAAUGCAAGCCCAUUGCUCCUCCUUUGCUAUGUAUGCAUAGCUUCCCCAGGGGUUUUUGCUUCCUUCUUCUAUUACUUUUUAAGGUAGCAGUUGCCAGGUUCGAGCUUCCCUGUCGUCAGUUGCACUGAAUGCCACAGCAAUUAUAUGUUUCAAACAGGAGUUGUGGCACCCCAGAGUCCUGUCAAGCAAAAGAAAACGAUCUGCAGUUAAUGAAUGUGUGCU